GAUGAAGAACGUAGCGAAAUGCGAUAAGUAGUGUGAAUUGCAGAAUUCAGUGAAUCAUCGAAUCUUUGAACGCACAUUGCGCCCCUUGGUAUUCCAUGGGGCAUGCCUGUUCGAGCGUCAUUUGUACCUUCAAGCUUUGCUUGGUGUUGGGUGUUUGUCCCUCGGGACUCGCCUUAAAGUCAUUGGCAGCCAGUGUUUUGGUUUUGAAGCGCAGCACAAGUCGCGAUUCAAGGCUAUCCGCCCGCUUCCACAAGCCUUUUUCACUUUUGACCUCGGAUCAGGUAGGGAUACUCGCUGAACUUAAGCAUAUCAAUAAGCGGAGGA
rnacentral:misc_RNA from 1 species